rnacentral:sRNA from 1 species
GUUUUGAGUUGAAUGUUGUUUAUUUUUAUUUCAUUUUUGAUGUCCUUAUUCCCCCUAGUCUAUGUCUCUCCUAUAUGUCUUUCCUACAUUGAACCAUGGUAUUUUUUAAAACCAAUUAUCAUUGUUUCAUAUAUUUUUAACAAUUUGUCCAUGUUUUUUUUUACAGUACAUUUUUUUUAAAAUUUACAUCAAAUUUUGUUGUUGUUUUUAUUUCAAAACAUGUGUUGAAAUAAAUGAUAUGAAUUGU